rnacentral:antisense_RNA from 1 species
GGGGCGGUGGCCAGGCGGUUGCCCUGACAACGGGAAACCGACAGUCUCUUCCCGGUAGGGAGAGGGGAUGGCGGAAUUACUCCUCUAAUGUCAAGGUUUUCUAAUCACAGAAUUACUGGAGCGUCAAGAAGCGCCUGCAUGCUUGGAAGGGCUUCCAGGCAGAUGAACACACCUCAGCACCGGGUGGCAGUUUCCCAGGGUGCAACCCGGACCGGCUCUGGGUCACACUGACAAGGAUAACAAGGAUUAACAAUUUCCAGAGACAGCCCGUACAUAGAGGGAAAGUUUACUGAAAAAAAUGAAGAGGGGUCAGGGCAAGGCGAGGAGCAAGAAGCAUCCCCAAGGAAACAGAGAAGACCAGUACAACUGUACCUCUUUGCCAGCUGCACCAUCCGUACCAGGUGGCACGUUCUAGAGGCCAUAGCCUCUGUUCUGGUCAUCUCCAGUCUCCUGGGGUGGGAGUGUACAGCUCAGAGACUGCCACACUGCAAGACGAAGGGGCUGGAUGGACGGAAGUAAGAGGCGGAACCCUGCACACCCUCGGCCUCAGCCCCACUGAGUCUCCAAUGGGGCCACGCUUCUGAGUGCACCUCCCCCUGUCAUCUGUAAUGUGAGGGGGAACCAGGCUUGAUAUGGCAUUCCCAAUCCAGGGCCUCUGGACCCCUUGAGAUGCAUUAA